rnacentral:rRNA from 1 species
UACGAAGGGGGCUAGCGUUGUUCGGAAUACUGGCGUAAAGCGCGCGCAGGCGGUUCUUCAAGUCAGAGGUGAAAGCCCAGAGCUCAACUCUGGAAUGGCCUUUGAGACUAGAGAACUAGGGUACGGGAGAGGUGAGUGGAAUUCCGAGUGUAGAGGUGAAAUUCGUAGAUAUUCGGAAGAACACCAGUGGCGAAGGCGGCUCACUGGCC